rnacentral:rRNA from 1 species
UACAGAGGUCCCAAGCGUUGUUCGGAUUCACUGGGCGUAAAGGGUGCGUAGGUGGCAAGGUAAGUUUGAUGUGAAAUCUCCGGGCUUAACCCGGAAAUGGCAUUGAAUACUAUCUAGCUAGAGGUUUGGAGGGGGGACUGGAAUUCUCGGUGUAGCAGUGAAAUGCGUAGAUAUCGAGAGGAACACCAGUGGCGAAGGCGGGUCUCUGGACAGUUCCUGACGCUGAGGCACGAAGGCCAGGGGAGCAAACGGG